UACGAAGGGGGCUAGCGUUGCUCGGAAUCACUGGGCGUAAAGGGUGCGUAGGCGGGUUUUUAAGUCAGGGGUGAAAUCCUGGAGCUCAACUCCAGAACUGCCUUUGAUACUGAGGAUCUUGAGUUCGGGAGAGGUGAGUGGAACUGCGAGUGUAGAGGUGAAAUUCGUAGAUAUUAGGAAGAACACCGGUGGCGAAGGCGGCCCACUGGCUCGAUACUGACGCUGAGGUGCGAAAGCGUGGGGAGCAAACAGG
rnacentral:rRNA from 1 species